GUGCUUAACACAUGCAAGUCGAGUGCGCGCCUGUAGCAAUACAGGUGGCGCACGGCGCACGGGUGCGUAACACGUGGGCAAUCUGCCCUUCGAUGGGGAAUAACUCCGGGAAACCGAAGCUAAUUCCGCAUAACAUUCCUUGGACCCCGGUUCGAGGAUUCAAAGCCGCAAGGCGUCGAAGGAGGAGCCCGCGCCCGAUUAGCUAGUUGGCGAGGUAACGGCUCACCAAGGCAAUGAUCGGUAGCUGGUCUGAGAGGAUGGCCAGCCACACUGGAACUGAGACACGGUCCAG
rnacentral:rRNA from 1 species